rnacentral:lncRNA from 1 species
AUGUUAAUAACAAUAGUAAUUUGACGAAAGCAAAACAUAAGGACGUCAAAUUUCGGGUUGUUAAGAAAAGAGUACAAAAUGGGCAAUUGUGCAUUGAGUACAUAAGUACAAACUCCAUGCUUGCGGUUCCGCUCACUAAGGAAUUGACACCAAAAGUAUUUCAUGAGCAUAUUGCUUGUAUGGGUGUCAAAUUAGACANN